rnacentral:rRNA from 1 species
GACGAACGCUGGCGGCGUGCUUAACACAUGCAAGUCGAACGGAAAGGCCCUGCUUUUGUGGGGUGCUCGAGUGGCGAACGGGUGAGUAACACGUGAGUAACCUGCCCUUGACUUUGGGAUAACUUCAGGAAACUGGGGCUAAUACCGGAUAGGAGCUCCUGCUGCAUGUUUGGGGUUGUAAAGUUUCGGCGGUUGGGGAUGGACUCGCGGCUUAUCAGCUUGUUGGUGGGGUAGUGGCUUACCAAGGCUUUGACGGGUAGCCGGCCUGAGAGGGUGACCGGCCACAUUGGGACUGAGAUACGGCCCAGAGUCCUAAGGGAGGCAGCAGUGGGGAAUAUUGCACAAUGGGCGGAAGCCUGAUGCAGCAACGCCGCGUGCGGGAUGACGGCCUUCGGGUUGUAAACCGCUUUCGCCUGUGACGAAGCGUGAGUGACGGUAAUGGGUAAAGAAGCACCGGCUAACUACGUG